ACGUCAGCUCUUACACCGGCGUCACCAGCCAGGGGUGCAGACCCAACCCCAGCUCAUGGGAGAAGCCCUCACCGCUAAAACAGGGGUAUUUAAAUUAGGGAGUACUUAAGGAAAGAAAGCACAGUGCAAGUUCAAACGGCCCGAGGGAAUGUCGGUGCCAAGCAGGGAGAAGCACCGUUGCACACAGUGGUGUAGCCGUGCAGGACCGGGGACCGCGUGGUGGUGCCGGCAGCCCCACAGGAAGACCGGAGCUGAGAUGCCGCACGCCACCUCGCCGGGCGGUGUGGGUCUCGGCCCAGGCAGCUCUGCUCAGCCGAGGCUCAGAGGACGUGUGGAGAGAAAUUACAAUUAAGCAAGCCGUGCAUAUGAAAAUAGGCCUGGAACAUGCUGUAGUCACCACCACAGUCUGGAGAUUUCAGCAAUAAUUGCAGGGUAACUGUGCUGCUCCUCUGCUGCCGGGCUCCAGUUCCAGGGAGGGAUUUAUCUUGGCAGUGCUGUGGCUCGGGUCCCCAGCCUGCCACAUCUGGAGUUGGAUGGACAGAGUUAUAUGGCACUGGGAAUCAAGUGUGCUAGUCUGGAGAGCCCUGAAGACUGACAUCCGAAGAUAUUACCUGGAAAAUGGCCUCUCAGCCAAUACAGAGGAAGAAGCUACUUGCACACUGUUAGCAGUCCCCACUGCUCUCUGCCUGUGUCCUGAAUUGCAUCGUGUGCUUGUUGGCUCAAGCUAAAGAUCCACUGCACUGCACGUUUGAAGGAAGAGAGUACAUGAAAGGCACUAGGUGGUGGACAGCAAGGUCGUGAGCUGGCAGUGAUGGCAUUACCUCCAGAACUGGUCACUAACGAAGGUAAUUAAUCAUGUUUAGAGAUAAGACCUUUGGCUAAUCCAUAUUUUUUUUGUGUCGUCAGUAGGAUCUGGACAUAGUGCUCGUUCCGAUUGGUGCUGGCUUUGUGAGGAGUGGACACUUCCAAGGCAGAGAGAGAACUGAAAUCCGGGACGAUCUGUGGCAUCUGGGAGCCUGUGUGGAUUCCCGCUCCCAGGAGGUGUCCGAGGCAGUGGCCCUCCCUCCUCCAGGACUGCACAGGGGCAAUAGCAGCCGCAGCUGCAAAAUGAGCUCUCUUUAGCGGUUAGAGCUGACGGGGCCUUUUUAGGAGUGGGAGAUGUGAAAGUUGCCUGCCUUCUGCAUUUGCAAAAUGAGGGAGAAAAAGGCAAGGUAUUUGCAGAUCCACCCAGAAGGAAUUCAUAAUAGGGCUAAUAUCUGGGAAGACAGUUAAUCCUUCACUUGCCUAAAAGCCUUUUGUAACUGAAGGACCUCUAACUUGGUUUCCAGGACAUGUCUCGGUAGUUAGAAAUACCUUGGUUAGACCCUUGGUCUCAGCUCUGCUGGCCUGGGAAGCACCUUCGUAGGCACGUGAUAGAGUUUACAACAGCUUUGGCUCAUGUAGGCAAGAAGCAGCUGUUCUCCUGCCACGUCUCACUGUAACGCUGAGCUUGAUUAAACUGUGAACAUUGACGCUGUUUCUGCUUCCAAUUCAAGCUGAUCUUUAAGCUUUGGUUUUGAAAUGUCACCCUGGCAGAAGGCAAGAAAAAACACCAGAAAAUAUCUUGAGAAGUUUUUAAUCUCUUUUCAUUCCUUAAUUAGCAUUCUCCUCCCUCCCUACUCAAGGACAAUAAUUAUUUGUUUUAUUCUUUUUCUGUAAAAAUGAAGCAUGAGAAAAGUAGGUAUUAUCCUAUUCCAACAUCUGCUUGGGAUUUACAGUGCAUAUUGAGUAUGUUAUUUUUAUCUUCCUCACUUGUCUUGCUCGUAGCGAACUCAGUUGUCUACAAGUGUGAUCCAAAGAUACUGCACACCAUGAAAGCACUGGGAAUUUUUCACAUUUGAUUCGAUUCAGACUAAGAAUUUUCUUUAUUUUCAUUGCUUGUGUGUGUUAUCUGAGACAAACUAAGUUAGUUCCUUAACUGGUGGAUAAUAGUGGAGCUCUGCUAAUUGCUAGAGGCCAAGACCUCCUGCUUAUGGAAACAGCCAUUAUUUGUCUGAUUUUAAUCUGAUCAGCUCUUCUGUGACUGCUGUCAGUAUUUCCAGUGAAGAACAAAAUCUGAAUGUUUAUCAUCUCCCCUCAAUUUAUACUGGGUUAUUGCUGGGAUUUGCUGGUCCAAACCCCUCCAGCUAUGCAGAUCAGUAUCAGGAUUUUGUGUCUCAAGCCUCUGUUUACCUGAACUGGGCCUCUGCAUGACACAAUUACAUGACUCAAAAAAUCUUUCCUCGUUUAAUCCCCAAAUCUACCUUUUCAUGUUAUUUACCUAACAGGGUUGACCUGCAGUCAUUCCAAUGACAGCUGGAACGUCUCAGUGUCUAAUAAGGCCUCGGCUCUUGGUAAAGCAUUGUAUAUUUGGGACUUUGAAACAGAACAGUUUCUUUUUCUUCUCCUAGUUUGCAUAAGGAAUCAGUACUACAGUGCUUUGUUUUAUGAGGCCAAUAAAUUAAAACUUUCUUUCUACGUUCUGUGGAAAGACAAAAAGUUGUUAUUAUUCUUGCAAAACCACAUUAAACAGAAAGCAACAGCAACCAGAGUAUUGCUGACAUUGCUUAAUGAAAACCAGAGCUUUCCAGUGGAAAACACACUGGGAAGGACAGCUUCAAUUAGAGGAAAGGAGAGAUUAAAGACCUUUCAUUUAUACAACUGAGGGAAGGAAUGUGAAAGAAUGGGUUUGAAGAAGGGUCUAAUUGAAGGAUAAAAUGGAAACUGUAAAUGGCUUACGAUAAGAUCAGUAAGCAGAGACAGUGCAGCCAAUAUUGCUGGGAAUAUUUGUAGAAGUUCAUAAAAUCCCUAAAAGCCAGUUCAAUCUGGAAGAGACAGAUGCAGAGGAAAUAGCCCAAGAAUUGCGAACAUGUAGAAAUCCUACUGGAUGAAGACAAAAGGUUUGAAAAGGAAGAAUAUCAGUCGUUUGAAAAACAAUUGAAAAACAAUUUGCACAUUAAAAAAUGUUCACUGAAAUGGAAGGAGAGUCAGGAAGAUCAAGACCUUUUUCUAAAAGCAGGAAUGAAUGAAAUUUGAUGGCAUUCGUACUCUGAAGAUAUACCAGUAGUCACAGAAAAUUGGUCAUUUUGAUAGAGAAAAUCUGCAGAAUCUGUGAAACUUGAAACUACUAUAACCAUGUGGCAUAUUUCUUCUUAACACAUUGUAUAAAGGAGCUUUCACUUAGACAAGUAUGCUUUUAAUUAAUUUAAAUUGUUAAUUCAGCCAGGGACUAAGAACAAGGGUAGUGGGGAGGGAAGCAGGAUGAAGGAAAUUAUUUCAGCUUCGAAGAAUGUUCAGCUGCAUUAACAACAACAAAAGAAACACGAUACCAAAAAGAGGAGGUUUUCUGCAAGGGCUUCCUCAUUCUCUCUAGGUUUUUCGUAACAGCUUAAACAAUUGAACCUUUACGUUUGCAGCUUCUCUGGCUUUGACACGGGGCUAACUGAGGUUGUUCUCAGCAGGACCUGUCGAAGCCCUGUCUUUCCCCGCCGCCUGGUUGUCCUUGCUGACCGUUUCUGCAUGUUCCCGAUGCCACCAGGCCGCUGGUUGCAUUGCAGAGCAGCUCCGUCUGCACAGUCUGCCACAUUUCUUCCAGUGCCGUCUUUUUUCGCCACUCACUGCUUGACUACUGUCUGUGGAUAAUUGCUAUCAUGUCUUGCAGCUAAUAUUGCCAUCUCCUGCCAGUGAUCCUUUUAUUCAUUCUGUGGUCUCCCUGACUGUGUCUGCCCUCUUGAGAUGCCGUAUAUUUCCCAUUUCUUUUCUCUCUUUGUUUUCAACAACCGCCUGCCCCAUCUUCGCAGCACACAUUUGUCCUUGUCACUUGUUCCUUCCCUCUGUCUACACUUAUUCCACCAGCUUUGCUUCUAUCUCAGCUACUAAAAGUGCUGAGGCUAGUGCUGUAUGCAUACAUACAUACAUCUCUCUCUAUAUAUAUAUAUAUGUAUGCAUAUAAAUGUGUAUGUAUGUAAUCUAUCUAGGCCAUGCCACCUCGCCGCCCCUUUCUGAAGGCAGGUAUUUCCGAGCUGGGUGCUUGGCCACACACAGCCCCAUGCCAUGGUGGCACAAGGGGAACUUGCCCCUGGAAAGGGUAUUGCAGGGUAAUGCAGGUCAGUCCUCAGAAACAGGAGCAGAAGUAUGCAAAGAAGUUUGGUUGGUGCCUGCCUGUGCUUUGUCUAGCUCUUCCCAAUGCCCAGGGUCCAUUUAUUUCAGCAGUACUUAAAAUCUCUUUAAAGCAUUUAUAAAUCUUUAUUGGGUGUUUCCAAGAGACAUGCAUAAUAUAAUUGGUGUAACAGUAAAUCUGCUAUGACGUGUUUAUAAAUGCAGCCUUUAGCUUCUCUGUAAAGUUCAGAAUUUCCUUUUGAACAACGUAAGUUUAUACAGAGGUAGAAAUGCAAACCAGAAGAGCUAGGUCAUUGUGGGAGAAGUUCCGUUUUCACCUGAAGUAAAUGAUCCCGGAGUGACAUCCUUAGGAAAGGAUUGUUGACACUGUGGUUUCUCUUUGGGUCAAACUCUGCCUCGGUGAGGCACUAGGGAAUGUUUCCAUUGCAGCAGUAGAGCUAUGGAGAGCUAACCAAAUUAAUUAGCCCUGUUAAGCAACAAGGUACAUUCACCCAGACUGAGCUGUAUACUCAUGUGAUUUUUAACUGAGCUGCUUAGCUUCCUUGGUACAGCUCUGUGGCACGUAGACACACUCUGAAUGAUCUACGUAAAAUGGCUGGUUACUAUUGCCAUUUUUUCCCAGUGUGGUAAGCCAACGCCAAAGAGCCACAUGAGGAACUUGCGAUCCUGGCCGUGAUGUACAAGACAGCCCAGACCUGCUCUCCAUGGACACCUGCCUCUGGUUGGCUCUGGAAACCUACCAGGACACACCGUCCUUUACACACACUCCAGACAGGUGAUUUCUACCUCCUUUCUUCUUAAGGACAUUUAGUUUGAUUAAUGUUCUGAAAUGUGGAGUAAUGCAAUGGAUAAAGACAAUCACAACUUCAAUUGCUGCAAUAGCUGCAGUCACUCUCUGUUCAGACAGGUAGGUCCAUCCACCACUAGGCAGGGGAAAUGGGCAGAGGUCCCACUCUCUCUGCUCACCAUUAUGGAUGACCAAGCAGAGGGAGAUGAGUGGUACUUUCCUGCUGGUAUGGAGGCCAGCAGUAGUGUUGCUCAUGAAUCUUCCCAGAAACACCUUUUGCACUUUUCUACUGACUUACAAAUUAGAAAAGUUUCAGCAGUUAUUUGACCAUGACAAGAAAACAUCUCUGGGACCUUAAACUUGUGUGUGUUGGAGAAAGUGAAUUCCUAGGCAAUUCUGACCAGAACAAUACCAUUACGUCCUUCCAUCACCUCCAUCCUGCCGAGGAUAGUAACUAGGUGCAUCCAUACUGCAGAAAUCCUAGAGAAGCGUGGCGCCCUCAGGCAAAAUCCUGUGUGGGCAAGAGCUGUCACUCAUGCAACCCCCUUUGCUCAGGUCUGGGUUUAAGAUCACAAAAUAGUUGCCCUGGUUGCAGACUGUUGUGACAUCAACUUUCUAGCAUGGCUGACAAAUAUGCAAGGAAUUUGUGAGGUUCCUGCUUGGUGCCCAUGCUCUUCUAUGAGCUUUCUCCUCCUUGUCAGCCUUCAACAUCCAGCACGUUCCUUGUGGUAUAUUUUAUACUAAAUUUGUCCUCUAGUCAAAUAAAUUUAAAAAAUGAAAUUUGGCUAUCACAGAGUUCAUUUACACUCAUCUGUUCCUCAGUCACUGAAGAUGCAAAUUGGGCAGCAAAGAGACAGUUGAUGCUAUUUUAUAUGAAACGUGUGUAUGUACCUGUGCUUCUACUCAGUUAAAAUGACUGCACUAGCUACUGUGAGGAGAGGCUUCAUUGUGAUAUAUGUUAUAUAAAUAUGUCUUUAGAAACUGCAGCUUGAACAGCCAACUCUGAAAUUGUAAUAAACCAGAUUCUGCCCACAUUGUAUGAACUGAUUCUUCAGCUUUUACUUUGUUUAGACAAGGUAGUGUUGAAAGUAUCUUUUAAC